rnacentral:rRNA from 1 species
CCUGAAUCGCGAACAGUAUGAAAGUGCUCCUUUACUUUAUGGGAGAACCUAUGCGUCCGAACCGGAGUAUGUGCCCGAAGGAGACUAUUACAAGGUAAAGACAGAAAAAGGUAGUGCCAUCUAUCGGCCGGAUAAGAAAGAAGGCAAGUAUAAAAUUAUUCGCUAUAAGGAAGAUGUGUGCUACACUCAAAAUAUGUUGUUUCCGCGAAUGUGGAAUGAUCGUUCGGCCGCUUCUUACAAAGGAUGGUCCGGUGGAGGUGCGAAUGAGGCUCCUACACAAAAAGAGAACCUGACUUAUUUUAUCACAUACCAACUCAAUUACAUGUACUGGCGCUAUUUCCUAUGGAAUUUUGUCGGACGACAGAAUGAUAUUCAAGGAAGCGGUGAACCGGAACAUGGUAACUGGAUUACAGGAAUUUCCUGGCUUGAUAAUCUGCGACUGGGGGAUCAAAAACUUUUGCCGGAAUCUUUGCGUGAGAACAAAGGUCACAAUGUGUUCUAUGGUUUACCAUUAUUAUUAGGAUUACUCGGUAUCUAUUGGCAAUGGACACGUGGGAAAAAAGGCAAGCAGCAAUUCAGUGUCUUAUUUUUCCUUUUCUUUAUGACGGGAUUGGCUAUUGUGCUCUAUCUGAAUCAGACUCCCGGACAACCCCGUGAACGGGAUUAUGCGUAUGCAGGUUCGUUUUAUGCGUUCGCUAUCUGGAUUGGAAUGGGAGCCGCCGGAUGCUGUGACAUGCUUCGCAGGAAACAGGCAAAAAUCCUCCCAGUCGGCUUACUUAUGCUGCUUUGCCUGUUUGUCCCCAUACAAAUGGCAAGCCAGACUUGGGAUGACCACGAUCGAAGCAACCGGUAUACCUGUCGUGACUUUGGAGCUAAUUAUCUGAUGACACUUCCCGACAAAGGAAAUCCGAUCAUAUUCUGUAACGGGGAUAAUGAUACGUUCCCCUUGUGGUAUAAUCAGGAUACGGAAGAAGUACGCAGAGAUGUACGUAUCUGCAAUUUAAGUUAUGCGCAGACCGACAGCUAAGGUCCCAAAGUGUGUGUUAAGUGGAAAAGGAUGUUAGGUUUCUAAGACAACUAGGAUGUUGGCUCAGAAGCAGCCACUCAUUUAAAGAGUGCGUAACAGCUCACUAGUCGAGAGGUCUAGCGCCGAAAAUGUCCGGGGCUAAAACACACCACCGAAGCUACGGAAUUACCUAUGGUAAUUGGUAGAGGAGCAUUCUGUAAGGACGAAGCACAAUUGAAAGAGAGUGUGGACGAAACAGAAGAGAGAAUGCCGGAAUGAGUAGCGAGAUAUAUGUGAGAAUCAUAUAGGUCGAAUGUCUAAGGUUUCCUGGGUAAAGCUGAUCUGCUCAGGGUAAGUCGGGACCUAAGGUGAGGGCGAGAGCCGUAAUCGAUGGACAACAGGUAGAAAUUCCUGUACUACGUAUAAUCAGAACUGUGGGGACGCAGGAGGAUAGGAAAACCGGAGAAUGGAAAUAUCCGGCUAAGUACAAAGGUGUGAGUGAUAGGCAAAUCCGUCACUAUAAGCUGAAGUACGAAUGGGAGCGAAGAAAAGUAGCGAAGUUUCUGAAUCCACACUGUCAAGAAAAGCCGCUAUUGCGUUAUACGUACCCGUACCGCAAACCGACACAGGUAGACGAGGAGAAAAUCCACAGACCGACGGGAGAAGUGUUGUUAAGGAACUCGGCAAAAUGACCCCGUAACUUAGGGAUAAGGGGAGCCAACGCAAGUUGGUCACAGAAAAGAGGCUCAAGCGACUGUUUAGCAAAAACAUAGGUCUAUGCGAAACCGUAAGGUGAUGUAUAUGGGCUGACACCUGCCCGGUGCUGGAAGGUCAAAAGGAGAGGUUAGCGUAAGCGAAGCUUUGAAUUCAAGCCCCAGUAAACGGCGGCCGUAACUAUAACGGUCCUAAGGUAGCGAAAUUCCUUGUCAGGUAAGUUCUGACCCGCACGAAAGGCGUAACGAUUUGGGCGCUGUCUCAGCUGUAGACUCGGUGAAGUCUUAGUACCUGUGAAGAUGCAGGUUACCCGCGACUAGACGGAAAGACCCCAUGGAGCUUCACUGCAGGUUGAUAUUGGGAUUUGAUGCAGCAUGUACAGGAUAGGUAGGAGGCAAAGAGAUGGAUACGCCAGUAUUCAAGGAGCCGCUGUUGGGAUACUACCCCUGUUGUAUUGGAUUUCUAACCGGACGACGUAGAGCCGUUGACGGGACAGUGUCAGUCGGGCAGUUUGACUGGGGCGGUCGCCUCCCAAAGAGUAACGGAGGCGCCCAAAGAUACCCUCAGCUUGGAUGGAAACCAAGCGCAGAGUGCAAAGGCAAAAGGGUGUUUGACUGCGAGACCCACAAGUCGAGCAGGGACGAAAGUCGGGCUUAGUGAUCCGGCGGUGCUGAAUGGAAAGGCCGUCGCUCAACGGAUAAAAGCUACCCUGGGGAUAACAGGCUGAUCUCCCCCAAGAGUUCACAUCGACGGGGAGGUUUGGCACCUCGAUGUCGGCUCAUCGCAUCCUGGAGCUGAAGUCGGUUCCAAGGGUUGGGCUGUUCGCCCAUUAAAGCGGUACGCGAGCUGGGUUCAGAACGUCGUGAGACAGUUCGGUCC